rnacentral:rRNA from 1 species
GCGGGGAAAGGAUCAUUAGAGAUAUCAGGGGGCGCCACUGUGGCGCCUCCCGCUAUACAACCCACUGUGUACCCUUGCCACGUUGCUUCCCCAGGCCAGCGGCCACUGCUGCCAGCCCCUCGACCCCUCCCGCGGUCGUGGUCCUGAGGUGCCUGGGGGAGGGUCCAACCCCCAAAUCUUUGCUCAUCUAGGCAGUCUGAGCAGGCCACCCGCCUGAGAAGGUAAUAUGUUAAAACUUUCAACAACGGAUCUCUUGGCUCUCGCAUCGAUGAAGAACGCAGCGAAAUGCGAUAAGUAAUGUGAAUUGCAGAAUUCAGUGAAUCAUCGAAUCUUUGAACGCACAUUGCGCCCUCUGGCAUUCCUCAGGGCAUGCCUGUUUGAGCGUCAAUAGAAACCCUUUCAGUCACCCUCCCGGUGGUACUGGGGGAGGUGGGUCGCCCUCCUGGCAUGAGGCCCACCCCUCCCGAAAAUCAUGGGCCCGUGAGCUGACAGCUGCCAUUGACUUUGCAAGCGCUUGGAAAGCCUGAACCAGUCAGGUGGCGCAGGUCAGUCGGCGCCCCCAACUGGACCCCCAAUCCAGCAUGACAAUGUGGGUUGACCUCGGAUCAGGUAGGGAUACCCGCUGAACUUAAGCAUAUCAAUAAGCGGGAGGAAA